rnacentral:rRNA from 1 species
UACGGAGGAUGCGAGCGUUAUCCGGAUUUAUUGGGUUUAAAGGGUGCGUAGGUGGUUAAUUAAGUCAGCGGUGAAAGUUUGUGGCUCAACCAUAAAAUUGCCGUUGAAACUGGCUGGCUGGAGUUGGCGAGAGGUAGGCGGAAUGCGUGGUGUAGCGGUGAAAUGCAUAGAUAUCACGCAGAACUCCGAUUGCGAAGGCAGCUUACUAAACUAUAACUGACACUGAAGCACGAAAGCGUGGGGAUCAA